AGCAGCCGCGGUAAUUCCAGCUCCAAUAGCGUAUAUUAAAGUUGUUGCAGUUAAAAAGCUCGUAGUUGAAUUUCGGGAUCAAUACGUCGGUCGUGCUUCGGUACGUACUGGCGUCAUUGAUUUCUCCCUUCUGACGAACCAUGAUGUCAUUAACUUGGUGUCGUGGAGAAUCAGGACUGUUACCUUGAAAAAAUUAGAGUGUUUAUAGCAGGCUAACGCUUGAAUACAUUAGCAUGGAAUAAUGAAAUAGGACGUUCGACCCUAUUUUGUUGGUUUCUAGGAUCGACGUAAUGAUUAAUAGGGAUAGUUGGGGGCAUUAGUAUUCAAUUGUCAGAGGUGAAAUUCUUGGAUUUACUGAAGACUAACUACUGCGAAAGCAUUUGCCAAGGAUGUUUUCAUUAAUCAAGAACGAAAGUUAGGGGAUCGAAGACGAUCAGAUACCGUCGUAGUCUUAACCAUAAACUAUGCCGACUAGGGAUCGGAUGAUGUUAAUUUUUAAUGACUCAUUCGGCGCCUUAAC
rnacentral:rRNA from 1 species